rnacentral:snRNA from 1 species
GGAUGUGAGGGCGAUCUGGCUGCGACAUCUGUCAUCCCAUUGAUCGCCAGGGUUGAUUCGGCUGAUCUGGCUGGUUGGGCAGGUGUCUCCUUCCUCCCUCACUGCUCCUUGUGUGUCCCUCCCCAAGCUGCCUGCUCCUGGAAAAGAAAUGGACCGGUCUUCCGUCGAGGGUAUAUGAGUAGUUGCGCUCCCCUGCUAGAACCUCCAAACAAGCUCUCAAGAUACAGUUUAUUUAUAACCGGAAAUUUGUACUUUUUGAUCCCCUUCAUCUGCUUUGUCAAG